rnacentral:rRNA from 1 species
UACAGAGGGUGCGAGCGUUAAUCGGAAUUACUGGGCGUAAAGCGCACGUAGGUGGCGACGUAAGUCGGGUGUGAAAGCCCCGGGCUCAACCUGGGAAUUGCAUUCGAGACUGCAUUGCUGGAGUACGGAAGAGGAAGGCGGAAUUCCCGGUGUAGCGGUGAGAUGCGUAGAUAUCGGGAGGAACACCAGUGGCGAAGGCGGCGAUCUGGGUCGAUACUGACGCUGAGGUGCGAAAGCGUGGGGAGCAAACAGG